AACGAACGUUGGCGGCGUGGAUGAGGCAUGCAAGUCGAACGUGAAAGCUACUUCGGUAGUGAGUAAAGUGGCGAACGGGUGAGUAACACGUAACCAAGCUACCCUCGAGAUCGGGAUAAC
rnacentral:rRNA from 1 species